AGGCCUGGAACUCAGAUCAUCAUUAUCCAAUCUUUAGUGACUUUAAUCAGUUGAUACCGUCUUAGUCAGAUGGUAGAGAUGGAUGAGAAGGGUUUCAUUCUUAUCCCAAAUAAGUAGAUCAAGAAUUUUGGUUUCCUUCUUCUCUUGUUUAAUGGAGAGCGAUGGAUGGACGUCAAAUCACAAGGAAAGAGAGAGACAG
rnacentral:lncRNA from 1 species